UACGAAGGGGGCUAGCGUUGUUCGGAAUUACUGGGCGUAAAGCGCACGUAGGCGGGUUGUUAAGUCAGGGGUGAAAUCCUGGAGCUCAACUCCAGAACUGCCUUUGAUACUGGCAACCUAGAGACUGGAAGAGGUUAGUGGAAUUCCCAGUGUAGAGGUGAAAUUCGUAGAUAUUGGGAAGAACAUCAGUGGCGAAGGCGGCCCUCUGGUCCAGUACUGACACUCAAGUGCGAAAGCGUGGGGAGCAAACAGG
rnacentral:rRNA from 1 species